rnacentral:rRNA from 1 species
GCGGCGUGCCUAAUACAUGCAAGUCGAGCGAACGGACGAGAAGCUUGCUUCUCUGAUGUUAGCGGCGGACGGGUGAGUAACACGUGGAUAACCUACCUAUAAGACUGGGAUAACUUCGGGAAACCGGAGCUAAUACCGGAUAAUAUUUUGAACCGCAUGGUUCAAAAGUGAAAGACGGUCUUGCUGUCACUUAUAGAUGGAUCCGCGCUGCAUUAGCUAGUUGGUAAGGUAACGGCUUACCAAGGCAACGAUGCAUAGCCGACCUGAGAGGGUGAUCGGCCACACUGGAACUGAGACACGGUCCAGACUCCUACGGGAGGCAGCAGUAGGGAAUCUUCCGCAAUGGGCGAAAGCCUGACGGAGCAACGCCGCGUGAGUGAUGAAGGUCUUCGGAUCGUAAAACUCUGUUAUUAGGGAAGAACAUAUGUGUAAGUAACUGUGCACAUCUUGACGGUACCUAAUCAGAAAGCCACGGCUAACUACGUGCCAGCAGCCGCGGUAAUACGUAGGUGGCAAGCGUUAUCCGGAAUUAUUGGGCGUAAAGCGCGCGUAGGCGGUUUUUUAAGUCUGAUGUGAAAGCCCACGGCUCAACCGUGGAGGGUCAUUGGAAACUGGAAAACUUGAGUGCAGAAGAGGAAAGUGGAAUUCCAUGUGUAGCGGUGAAAUGCGCAGAGAUAUGGAGGAACACCAGUGGCGAAGGCGACUUUCUGGUCUGUAACUGACGCUGAUGUGCGAAAGCGUGGGGAUCAAACAGGAUUAGAUACCCUGGUAGUCCACGCCGUAAACGAUGAGUGCUAAGUGUUAGGGGGUUUCCGCCCCUUAGUGCUGCAGCUAACGCAUUAAGCACUCCGCCUGGGGAGUACGACCGCAAGGUUGAAACUCAAAGGAAUUGACGGGGACCCGCACAAGCGGUGGAGCAUGUGGUUUAAUUCGAAGCAACGCGAAGAACCUUACCAAAUCUUGACAUCCUU